GAUGAACGCUGACAGAAUGCUUAACACAUGCAAGUCUACUUGAAGCUAACUUCGGUUAGUGGAUGGUGGCGGACGGGUGAGUAACGCGUAAAGAACUUGCCUCACAGUUUGGGACAACAUUUGGAAACGAAUGCUAAUACCGGAUAUUAUGAUACUUCCGCAUGGAAGAAUCAUGAAAGCUAUAUGCGCUGUGAGAGAGCUUUGCGUCCCAUUAGCUAGUUGGAGAGGUAACGGCUCACCAAGGCGAUGAUGGGUAGCCGGCCUGAGAGGGUGAACGGCCACAAGGGGACUGAGACACGGCCCUUACUCCUACGGGAGGCAGCAGUGGGGAAUAUUGGACAAUGGACCAAAAGUCUGAUCCAGCAAUUCUGUGUGCACGAUGAAGUUUUUCGGAAUGUAAAGUGCUUUCAGUUGGGAAGAAGCAAGUGACGGUACCAACAGAAGAAGCGACGGCUAAAUACGUGCCAGCAGCCGCGGUAAUACGUAUGUCGCAAGCGUUAUCCGGAUUUAUUGGGCGUAAAGCGCGUCUAGGUGGUUAUAUAAGUCUGAUGUGAAAAUGCGGGGCUCAACUCCGUAUUGCGUUGGAAACUGUAUGGCUAGAGUACUGGAGAGGUAAGCGGAACUACAAGUGUAGAGGUGAAAUUCGUAGAUAUUUGUAGGAAUGCCGAUGGGGAAGCCAGCUUACUGGACAGAUACUGACGCUAAAGCGCGAAAGCGUGGGUAGCAAACAGG
rnacentral:rRNA from 1 species